AUGUAUGAAGAAAGGAAGAGAGACAUGAAUGAGGAAAAUUUGAUGCAUUCAUUUACUGUUCAUGACUUGACACAAGAGAAGAAGAAGCUGCAGCAGAGCUAUGAGAAGUUGGCUGAAGAUGUCAAUGGACUUUUGGAUGCUCAGGAAAGGAGGGGAGAGGUAGAAAGGAAAGAUGUUGAAACCAGCAAGCUUCAAGAGAAGUAUGACAUGGUUAAGAACCUAGCAGCUGCUCAAGCAACUGUCAUUAGGAACAUGAAGCUCAAACUAGCUGAAGAGAGGAAGAAUUUGCAGAAGCACAUUGAUGAGCUCAAGAAGACAGUUGAAGAGAGCAAUGUGAAGCUGCAGGGGGUCAAGGCCAUCAUAAAUGGAUAA
rnacentral:rRNA from 1 species